CCUUGGACCACAGCACUCCAGGCUCCCCUGUCCUUCACUAUUUCCCGGAGUUUGCUCAGAUUCGUGUCCAUUGAGUUGGUGAUGCUAUCUAACCAUAGCUUCCCACAACAUUUAGUGGGAAACCUGGCCAGAGAGCUGGUCUUGGCUUGGGCAGGACUGGAGCCCAGAGCCCAGAGCUGGGGGGUCCAGACUGAUGCCAGAUCCUUCCCCAGAAGCAGGUGAGUCCUCGUGCUGGGCAGCCUCUGUGGGCAGUAGGACAAGGGCAAUGCUGGCACCUGGUGUGAAGCUGGGGGCUGGGGCACCCAAGGAGCUGACUGUCAUUGCAAACAGCUGUUGGUUGAGAUCUCAAUGUACCAAAGUUUCAGUAUGUGGAGCAAAGCUGCUAUGUGUUAUUUUCUUCUCAAAAUGAAGUUUUGUAGCUUUAGUAAUAAUAAAAUCACCUUGGCAGGACAGUCAUGCAACCUAAAUGAAAACAAUAUCCAGUGACAUGGCAUUUUACCAACUUUAGGCAGAGCAAGUGUCAUCUUCACAGUCCCUGCUGCCUGGGAGACUGGAAGGUCUGAGUCCCAGUGGUAUGGAGCUAACAGGAAAAGGAUGUCCCAGCCCAAGUCCUAGCUGCCCAGGACCCACCCUCCUUCCUCGAGUUCAGCCCCAGGGUGCCUGUGCUUUGACCUGCUUCUGCAGACAGUGAAGAUAAAAGGGAACCUACACAUCAAGGGAAGAAUUUCCAACCAGAGUCCCCUCUGUAACCAGGGCAGAGCCUUGGGAGGCAACAGGAAAGAAACCCUAAGGCUGGACCCGGCAGCCAUCUGUGCAGAGGAGUUGGGCCAGCGAACACCCAGAAGGACCAGAUGCCGGCCUGCGGGGACCUCUCCAGACUGUGGCUCCUGAGCUGGCACCCCUCUGGUUCAGGGCUCCUCAGCCCCAGCACAGUGCCUGAUGUUUAGCACAGCUCACUCAGUAAUUGACAAGGCCUGAAAUUCACAUUUUUAGUCCAACACCAUUUUCUAUGAGUCAUGUGAAAAAUGUUGAUGGAGGUCCAGAGAUAACAAAAUAAGAGACAAUCAGGGUGAAUAAGUCCUCAGACCACGGAAUUUAGGUUCUGUUUCCCUGGAGGCUUGCAUGGUAAAGAAUCUGCAUGCAGUGCAGAUUCCUGGGUUCCAUCCUUGGGUCGUUGACAUCCCCUGGAAAAGGGAAUGGCUACCCGCUCCAGUAUUCUGGAAAAUUCCAUGGACAGAAUAGGAGCCUGGUGGGCUACAGUCCAUGGGGUUGCAAAGAGUCAGACAUGACUGAGUGACUAGCACUUUCACUUUUCACUUUUUCUCCCACUUGAUGAGCUCUGCAACCUUACAGAUAAGAAGGUUGCCCGUGAUGGGUCCUACCUGAGUCCAUGAAGAGGUGGUCUUUCACAAUCCUGCCUGCACAGAGUAUAUGUUCAAUAAAUGUGGGUUCUUGAUAUUUUUUAAUUGAGACAUAAACCAUAUAAAAUUUUGUAUAAAAUAAAAUACUUAGAUCUUAAGUAUUCCAUUUGAUGAGUUUUGGCAAUAUAAACCUGUAUAGAUAUUGUAUAAAUCUGCCUAGCUAUCAAGGUCUAGACAUGAAGCAUUUCCAAUCAUCCCUGAAAGUUCCCUCAUAACCCUUUCCAGUUGAUCUCUGCCUCCCUGCUCACAGAGGCAACUAUUUUCUGAUUUCCAUCAUCGUAGAUGAGCUUUGUCCAUUCGAGUACUUCACAUAAAGGGAAGCAUACAGUAUGUUCCCUGGACUCAUUUUUCUAUAUCUGUUAUUGUUGUUGUUGUUCAGGAUAAUGUUUUUGAAACUCAUCCGUGUUGUUGUAGGUGUUAAUUUUUUUUUUUUUUUUUUUUGGUGCAUCCUGAAUAUUCAUUGGAAGGACUGAUGCUGAAGCUGAAGCUCCAAUACUUUGGCCACCUGAUGCAAACAGCUGACUCACUGGAAAAGACCUUAAUGCUGAGAAAGAUUGAGGGCAGGAGGAGAAGGGGGAAAGAGAGGAUGAGAAGGCUGGCUGGUAUCGCUGACUCAAUGGACACGAGUUUUAGCCAGCUCCAGGAGAUAGUGAAGGACAGGGAAGGCUGGCGUGCUGCAGUCCACGGGGUCACAAAGAAUCAGACACAACUCAACAACUGAACAACAACAAUAACAUUAGUGCAUAGUAUUCCAUUUCAUGCCCUGGAGGAGAAAAUGGCUAUUCACUCCAGUAUUCUUGCUGGGAUAAUCCCGUAGACAGAGAAGCCUGGUGAGCUACAGUCCAUGGGGUUGUAAAGAGUUGGACACGACUGAAGCGACUGAGCACGCAUGCAUGCAUUCCAUUGUAUGAAUGUAUCACUUGUGAAAAAAUAUAUUCUUCUACUGAUGAACAUUUGGUUUGUUUCCAGUUUAGGGCUAUUACAAA
ensembl:lncRNA